UUAAGCGACUAAGCGUACACGGUGGAUGCCCUGGCAGUCAGAGGCGAUGAAGGACGUGCUAAUCUGCGAUAAGCGUCGGUAAGGUGAUAUGAACCGUUAUAACCGGCGAUUUCCGAAUGGGGAAACCCAGUGUGUUUCGACACACUAUCAUUAACUGAAUCCAUAGGUUAAUGAGGCGAACCGGGGGUAACUGAAACAUCUAAGUACCCCGAGGAAAAGAAAUCAACCGAGAUUCCCCCAGUAGCGGCGAGCGAACGGGGAGGAGCCCAGAGCCUGAAUCAGUGUGUGUGUUAGUGGAAGCGUCUGGAAAGGCGCGCGAUACAGGGUGACAGCCCCGUACACAAAAAUGCACAUGCUGUGAGCUCGAUGAGUAGGGCGGGACACGUGGUAUCCUGUCUGAAUAUGGGGGGACCAUCCUCCAAGGCUAAAUACUCCUGACUGACCGAUAGUGAACCAGUACCGUGAGGGAAAGGCGAAAAGAACCCCGGCGAGGGGAGUGAAAAAGAACCUGAAACCGUGUACGUACAAGCAGUGGGAGCACAGAGCAAUCUGUGUGACUGCGUACCUUUUGUAUAAUGGGUCAGCGACUUAUAUUCUGUAGCAAGGUUAACCGAAUAGGGGAGCCGAAGGGAAACCGAGUCUUAACUGGGCGUUAAGUUGCAGGGUAUAGACCCGAAACCCGGUGAUCUAGCCAUGGGCAGGUUGAAGGUUGGGUAACACUAACUGGAGGACCGAACCGACUAAUGUUGAAAAAUUAGCGGAUGACUUGUGGCUGGGGGUGAAAGGCCAAUCAAACCGGGAGAUAGCUGGUUCUCCCCGAAAGCUAUUUAGGUAGCGCCUCGUGAAUUCAUCUCCGGGGGUAGAGCACUGUUUCGGCAAGGGGGUCAUCCCGACUUACCAACCCGAUGCAAACUGCGAAUACCGGAGAAUGUUAUCACGGGAGACACACGGCGGGUGCUAACGUCCGUCGUGAAGAGGGAAACAACCCAGACCGCCAGCUAAGGUCCCAAAGUCAUGGUUAAGUGGGAAACGAUGUGGGAAGGCCCAGACAGCCAGGAUGUUGGCUUAGAAGCAGCCAUCAUUUAAAGAAAGCGUAAUAGCUCACUGGUCGAGUCGGCCUGCGCGGAAGAUGUAACGGGGCUAAACCAUGCACCGAAGCUGCGGCAGCGACACUGUGUGUUGUUGGGUAGGGGAGCGUUCUGUAAGCCUGUGAAGGUGUGCUGUGAGGCAUGCUGGAGGUAUCAGAAGUGCGAAUGCUGACAUAAGUAACGAUAAAGCGGGUGAAAAGCCCGCUCGCCGGAAGACCAAGGGUUCCUGUCCAACGUUAAUCGGGGCAGGGUGAGUCGACCCCUAAGGCGAGGCCGAAAGGCGUAGUCGAUGGGAAACAGGUUAAUAUUCCUGUACUUGGUGUUACUGCGAAGGGGGGACGGAGAAGGCUAUGUUGGCCGGGCGACGGUUGUCCCGGUUUAAGCGUGUAGGCUGGUUUUCCAGGCAAAUCCGGAAAAUCAAGGCUGAGGCGUGAUGACGAGGCACUACGGUGCUGAAGCAACAAAUGCCCUGCUUCCAGGAAAAGCCUCUAAGCAUCAGGUAACAUCAAAUCGUACCCCAAACCGACACAGGUGGUCAGGUAGAGAAUACCAAGGCGCUUGAGAGAACUCGGGUGAAGGAACUAGGCAAAAUGGUGCCGUAACUUCGGGAGAAGGCACGCUGAUAUGUAGGUGAAGUCCCUCGCGGAUGGAGCUGAAAUCAGUCGAAGAUACCAGCUGGCUGCAACUGUUUAUUAAAAACACAGCACUGUGCAAACACGAAAGUGGACGUAUACGGUGUGACGCCUGCCCGGUGCCGGAAGGUUAAUUGAUGGGGUCAGCGCAAGCGAAGCUCUUGAUCGAAGCCCCGGUAAACGGCGGCCGUAACUAUAACGGUCCUAAGGUAGCGAAAUUCCUUGUCGGGUAAGUUCCGACCUGCACGAAUGGCGUAAUGAUGGCCAGGCUGUCUCCACCCGAGACUCAGUGAAAUUGAACUCGCUGUGAAGAUGCAGUGUACCCGCGGCAAGACGGAAAGACCCCGUGAACCUUUACUAUAGCUUGACACUGAACAUUGAGCCUUGAUGUGUAGGAUAGGUGGGAGGCUUUGAAGUGUGGACGCCAGUCUGCAUGGAGCCGACCUUGAAAUACCACCCUUUAAUGUUUGAUGUUCUAACGUGGACCCGUGAUCCGGGUUGCGGACAGUGUCUGGUGGGUAGUUUGACUGGGGCGGUCUCCUCCUAAAGAGUAACGGAGGAGCACGAAGGUUGGCUAAUCCUGGUCGGACAUCAGGAGGUUAGUGCAAUGGCAUAAGCCAGCUUGACUGCGAGCGUGACGGCGCGAGCAGGUGCGAAAGCAGGUCAUAGUGAUCCGGUGGUUCUGAAUGGAAGGGCCAUCGCUCAACGGAUAAAAGGUACUCCGGGGAUAACAGGCUGAUACCGCCCAAGAGUUCAUAUCGACGGCGGUGUUUGGCACCUCGAUGUCGGCUCAUCACAUCCUGGGGCUGAAGUAGGUCCCAAGGGUAUGGCUGUUCGCCAUUUAAAGUGGUACGCGAGCUGGGUUUAGAACGUCGUGAGACAGUUCGGUCCCUAUCUGCCGUGGGCGCUGGAGAACUGAGGGGGGCUGCUCCUAGUACGAGAGGACCGGAGUGGACGCAUCACUGGUGUUCGGGUUGUCAUGCCAAUGGCACUGCCCGGUAGCUAAAUGCGGAAGAGAUAAGUGCUGAAAGCAUCUAAGCACGAAACUUGCCCCGAGAUGAGUUCUCCCUGACCCUUUAAGGGUCCUGAAGGAACGUUGAAGACGACGACGUUGAUAGGCCGGGUGUGUAAGCGCAGCGAUGCGUUGAGCUAACCGGUACUAAUGAACCGUGAGGCUUAACCU
rnacentral:rRNA from 1 species